rnacentral:pre_miRNA from 8 species
GUCUGCCGCCGCCGCCUGCCUCCCACCAUUUUUGGCAAUGGUAGAACUCACACUGGUGAGGUAAUGGGAUCCGGUGGUUCUAGACUUGCCAACUAUGGUGCGAGGGCUUGGCCAGCAACUCCGCC